rnacentral:rRNA from 1 species
UACAGAGGUCUCAAGCGUUGUUCGGAUUCAUUGGGCGUAAAGGGUGCGUAGGCGGCGUCGUAAGUCGGGUGUGAAAUCUCGGGGCUCAACUCCGAAAUUGCAUUCGAUACUGCGGUGCUUGAGGACUGGAGAGGAGACUGGAAUUCACGGUGUAGCAGUGAAAUGCGUAGAUAUCGUGAGGAAGACCAGUGGCGAAGGCGGGUCUCUGGACAGUUCCUGACGCUGAGGCACGAAGGCCAGGGGAGCAAACGGG